GAUGAACGCUGGCGGCGUGCUUAACACAUGCAAGUCGAACGAUGAAGCCCAGCUUGCUGGGUGGAUUAGUGGCGAACGGGUGAGUAACACGUGAGUAACCCGCCCUUAACUCUGGGAUAAGCCUGGGAAACUGGGUCUAAUACCGGAUAGGAGCGUCCACCGCAUGGUGGGUGUUGGAAAGAUUUAUCGGUUUUGGAUGGACUCGCGGCCUAUCAGCUUGUUGGUGAGGUAAAGGCUCACCAAGGCGACGACGGGUAGCCGGCCUGAGAGGGUGACCGGCCACACUGGGACUGAGACACGGCCCAGACUCCUACGGGAGGCAGCAGUGGGGAAUAUUGCACAAUGGGCGCAAGCCUGAUGCAGCGACGCCGCGUGAGGGAUGACGGCCUUCGGGUUGUAAACCUCUUUCAGUAGGGAAGAAGCGAAAGUGACGGUACCUGCAGAAGAAGCACCGGCUAACUACGUG
rnacentral:rRNA from 1 species